GAAGGGGAGGAGGCUCACCUUCGACGCCGGCGAGGCUUUCUAGCAAGAAAAUUAGACAGGCACAGAGUCAGUCUUCUACGAUGAUUUUUCGAUGAUUGCUACUGAUGAACUUCAAGAUUUUUAGUGAGAGGGAGAGAGGAGGGAUCCCCUCCUUAAAUAGAGCCAGAGAGGGCCUCUUUCCGACUCCGGUUUGGAGUCGGUG
rnacentral:lncRNA from 1 species